GAUGAACGCUGGCGGCGUGCCUAAUACAUGCAAGUCGAGCGAACAGACGAGGAGCUUGCUCCUCUGACGUUAGCGGCGGACGGGUGAGUGACACGUGGAUAACCUACCUAUAAGACUGGGAUAACUUCGGGAAACCGGAGCUAAUACCGGAUAAUAUAUUGAACCGCAUGGUUCAAUAGUGAAAGACGGUUUUGCUGUCACUUAUAGAUGGAUCCGCGCCGCAUUAGCUAGUUGGUAAGGUAACGGCUUACCAAGGCAAUGAUGCGUAGCCGACCUGAGAGGGUGAUCGGCCACACUGGAACUGAGACACGGUCCAGACUCCUACGGGAGGCAGCAGUAGGGAAUCUUCCGCAAUGGGCGAAAGCCUGACGGAGCAACGCCGCGUGAGUGAUGAAGGUCUUCGGAUCGUAAAACUCUGUUAUUAGGGAAGAACAAAUGUGUAAGUAACUAUGCACGUCUUGACGGUACCUAAUCAGAAAGCCACGGCUAACUACGUG
rnacentral:rRNA from 1 species